rnacentral:rRNA from 1 species
UACGUAGGGGGGCGAGCGUUUGUCCGGGAUUUAUUGGGCGUAAAAGCGCCCGCAGGCGGUGCGCCAAGUGUGGGGGUGACAGCGACCGGCUUAACCGGUCGAGUGUCCUACAGACUGGCGCACUUGAGGGCCACAGAGGAACACAGAAUUCCGGGUGGAGUGGUGAAAUGCGCAGAUAUCAGGAGGAACACCGGUGGCGAAGGCGGGUCUCUGGGGCCGACCCUGACGCUGAGGCGCGAAGGCGUGGGAGCGAACGGG